rnacentral:rRNA from 1 species
UACGUAGGGAGCAAGCGUUGUCCGGAAUCAUUGGGCGUAAAGCGCGCGUAGGCGGUGUCUUAAGUUUGGUGUGAAAUCUCCCGGCUCAACUGGGAGGGUGCGCCGAAUACUGAAUGACUAGAGUGCGGGAGAGGAGAGUGGAAUUCCUGGUGUAGCGGUGAAAUGCGUAGAUAUCAGGAGGAACACCGGUGGUGUAGACGGCUCUCUGGACCGUAACUGACGCUGAGGCACGAAAGCGUGGGUAGCAAACAGG